GGGGGCGAUAGGUUUCGACGGGAAUAGGUUGAGCUUGGAUGGCAAGUCAAGUUCCAGAACUUGUAAAAACUGGGCUAAACAUAAAUGCUAAUGAACCAAAGUUAGCUUUAGCAGCCUAAUAAACUAAGCUGCUACGUCUGUUAUGAGGGUUCCUGUACUUUAUAACGGGCGACGAUUUACAGGAUACUUUUUAAUGGUUUUUCUGUAGCUGUUAAAAGGGAAACUUUUACGGAAUAGUUUUUUUGGACCCUGCCUGUUUGGUUUGAAAAAGCGAAAAUUAAAUACAGGCUAAGCUUGUAGAAGUCCUUGUGGCAAUAUUUUCGGACGCGGGUUCAAUUCCCGCCGCCUCCACCA
rnacentral:tmRNA from 1 species